AGCUAUUUUGGUGGAAUUGGUAGACACGAUACUCUUAAGAUGUAUUACUUUACAGUAUGAAGGUUCAAGUCCUUUAAAUAGCAAUA
rnacentral:tRNA from 1 species